UACAGAGGUCUCAAGCGUUGUUCGGAUUCAUUGGGCGUAAAGGGUGUGUAGGUGGCGCGCUAAGUCGGGUGUGAAAUUUCGGAGCUUAACUCCGAAACUGCAUUCGAUACUGGCGUGCUUGAGGACUGGAGAGGAGACGUGGAAUUUACGGUGUAGCAGUGAAAUGCGUAGAUAUCGUAAGGAAGACCAGUGGCGAAGGCGG
rnacentral:rRNA from 1 species